rnacentral:rRNA from 1 species
UGGGGAAUCUUGGACAAUGGGGGCAACCCUGAUCCAGCCAUGCCGCGUGCGGGACGAAGGCCCUCGGGUCGUAAACCGCUGUCAGGAGGGAGGAACGGUGCGUGGUUAAGAGCUGCGUACUUUGACAGUACCUCCAGAGGAAGCCCCGGCUAACUCCGUGCCAGCAGCCGCGGUAAUACGGAGGGGGUUAGCGUUGUUCGGAAUUACUGGGCGUAAAGCGCACGUAGGCGGACCAGAAAGUUGGGGGUGAAAUCCCGGGGCUCAACCCCGGAACUGCCUCCAAAACUAUUGGUCUAGAGUUCGAGAGAGGUGAGUGGAAUUCCAAGUGUAGAGGUGAAAAUUCGUAGAUAUUUGGAGGAACACCAGUGGCGAAGGCGGCUCACUGGCUCGAUACUGACGCUGAGGUGCGAAAGUGUGGGAGCAAACAGGAUUAGAUACCUGGUAGUCCACACCGUAAACGAUGAAUGCCAGUCGUCGGGUAGCAUG